GAUAUGGCAGAAAGAAAACUGUCCCUCAAGGCAAAAAUAAUAAUUUAUUCCAGACUUGGUGAGCACCUUCUAAACUUAUUACAAACUAUAUUUGCCAGUCUUGUUGCUUGAUCUUCACAGCCAAGCAACAGAAAUGCCGCAAUGAUCGAAAUGAUUGAAGUAAAUACAAUGAACAUAUAUCUUGAUAAAUGUAGAGGGCUCUAGCAAUUAAACAAGAAAACUACUAAAUUCAUUUAUAACUAUUAUGCAACACUAAAUUAAAGUCAACAUUAAGCUUCUCUAGUAAUAAACACCCACAUCUCAAUAGGAUGGCGAAAAUGAAUUUCACAAGGUAUUCUAUACCUUGUCCACUCUGAUCCAUAUACAUGGCCUGAUUAACAUGACAGGACCAUUUAUAGCACAUGACCGACAACAAAGGAUUUAAAUUAUCAUGCAGACAAAUGAGUUUUGCUCCUGCAAUUGUAAGCAAGGGAAGCCUAUGCUAAGCGCUUCUUCUCUCCAUAUGUACUCCUGAUGCUUCUGGUUGUUAAAGCAUCAUCCAUCUACAAAUGAAGACAAAUUAAGAAAAAAAAUUAUAGUUCACAUCAGAAGAAAAGAAAUUGAAAAUAAUUAUGAUCGUUGGUAGACUAAAUGGUUGUAAGGGAGAAAAACAGAGCAAGCUGUAACAAGCAUAUAUGUUGUACUUUAACCACUAGAAUAGCACAUUUAGGUGACUAGCAUGAAAAUUAAGUAAGAUUGUCAGAACUGAAAACAUUGACCAGAGUGCUACAUCCUUUGCAAGUGAAAUACCAACAUCAGUAGAAUAACCCAAAAGAAUUGCCUGCAGCAGAGGUGUAGUGCUUAAAAAGUAUUUAAUAUUAAUAAUACAAAUUUCUAGGCUUGAAUAACAGUUCAUGUCCUAAUCAUGUGUGUGCUUCACAAUUAAGAAUGGGUGUUAAGUUUUUUUUCUAACUCGUAGAUGAGGAAAAUGUAACAUCUUACAAUAAAUGAGUGGAGCCUUGUUAGAAUGCUGCAUCACAAAAACGUAUGGCAGACCAGUGAAGAGAAAAGAACAAGAAUACCAUAUGGCAAAAUAUAUUCAAAGCUUAACAAUGACCGAUCACUUGUAUCAUCAGAAAAGUGAAGGUGUAACUUGAUGUUGUUACAAGUUCCAACUCUUAAUUGUUUUGUUCAAUAUCAAGUUCACCUGACUUCCAAUCAACCAGAACAGUAUGAUUCAGGAAUGCUCGUAUAGAAUAAGAAAAUUGCAACCGAGCAUUGAUUUAAAGGCAAGUAACCCUCAUCGCUCAAACUUAUGAGCUGAAGAACAUACUUUAUGAAUGUUUGACAGAUGCAAAUUAUUAUUCUAAAUCAAUAGUAAACAAAUAAUUUGAUGGUGUGCAUAAAUGGUAGUCUUCAAAGCAAGAAGUGCAAACCUCCACUCUUGUGUUAUAUUAUUCUUAGAGCAUGUCCUUGCAUCACGGAACACUGCUAUCAUACAAAUGAUGCAUUUCCGUGGAGCAUAUAAAGCUAGAAGUCUAUUGUCACAUCUCAUACAUCCCAAUAUGACUUGCUUGUCAGACUUACUAGAGCAUCAGCGCCAAUUUUUAACAGAGUAAUAACAUUGUACUUGACCAAGAUCAAAACUUGACUAAUAAACAUGGACAAGUAUCUAUUGUGUGAAGUAUUGGUAGUUGGUACAUAUUCCCUUUCAGUAUAGAAAAUCAAGAGUUUGGGCAUUGUUUAAGAUGGUUAAAGGAGAUGGUAAUGAUGGCCAAUUUUAGUUUGUGUAAUCUUUAGACCUGUGUGUUUUUUGACACAAUAUCACAACUUUCUUUUGAAGAAAAAAAGAGAGCCCCCCUCUCUGGUUUCCUUUAUAUAAAACCAAUGUCUUACUAGUUGCUACAGAGAAGGAAAAAACAUCUAAAGAACUCUGGAAGUGUUUCGGUUUAUUUAACAGUAGAGCAAGUCUAAAUAACCCCUGGACUGGGGAAGCUCAAAUUUCCAUCACUUUGGCUGAUUGGAAAGCAGUUCAAUAGUGAUACACCAAGCUUGUCAUCAGCCAGUAGAAUACACAUUACCACAACUAAAUCAUGCACUAAUCAGCAUGCUAUUGCUGGAUCCGGAAUGAAUAGAUCAAACAUAGACACGCAUACAGGAAGCUAACAAUUAAAAAACUAAAAAAUGUUAUAAAAUAGAAAUUCAACGAACAUAAGCAUCAUCUCAUAAUGAGUCCCUCACCAUGGUGAUCGAGGACCUGGCACAUGCAGCCGUCGAUCUGCGUCAUCGCGAACACGUCCGUGAUGUGGGACUUCCGACCAGUCACCAACCCGUCAUAUAGUCCAGCACGGUGAAGGUCGGGUGGUGCUCCUGUGGAGCAGACCGUGGCAGAGCUGGAUGUGGCCGAGACGAUGAUGUGGAGCGCGACGUCGGGGUGCCCGGAGGUGGAUCCAGACGGCCUGGGUGGCGGAGUAGUUAGGGGAGGGGCCACGCACGGCGGCGGCCUCCCGCCGGAUCUGGAUCGCCGCCACAGCCGGCAAAGAGAACGGAGAUGUGCGAGAGGGUUCAGUCGUUUGCACAUAAUUAUUCAGAAUCGGAGGACCUUUCUGCACAAACUUUUGUGACCGUGAGUACAGAUCCCACACUCCAGAAUAUGUGCCAUCGAUUUCUAAUCCAACGGCCCAUGUCAUUUUUUUCUAUUUUUGCACUGUAAGCUCAGAUUCUAUACUAGUCGCUCCCGGUUGUUGGGGGAGCAACUAGUAUAGAAUCUAGGUAUUAGGUGCAAAAAUAGAAAAAGGAAGCUGGAUCGUUGGAUUGAAGAUGAAUGGCCCAGAUCCAGGCGGAGCGAUCUGUACUCACAACCGCAUCCUUAUUUGCAAAAACGUCCCUUUGCUUCUCAUUAUUGUUUCGCCUCCUUGUCCUUCAAACAAGAUCCCCACUAGCCCAUCUCCCUGUAGCUCGCCGAUGGCGGCGGCGGUCAGAUCCGGUGCUUGCGAGAGGACUACGCCCACCGCUCCUCCUCCAGGCGCCUCUCGACGCCAUACUGCGCAUCAUCGACCAGGACCCUGGCCGCCGCCGCCGCGGUCUCCUCCUCCACUCGUGCAUCUACCCAGGAAUCCAGGAGGCAUCACCUGGCCUUCUCUGUGCCGGAUUCCGACAGGUUUGCGACCAAGCUGAAG
rnacentral:lncRNA from 1 species